AGUUUUGAUACAUGCUACAACAUGGAUGAAUCUCAAAAACAUUAUGCUAAGUAAAAUAAAGCACAUGCAAAAUAGAUUGUGCAAACCUAUUGUACAAUCUCAUUCAUGUCAAAUAUUAUGAAAAUACAAACCUAUAGAGAUAGAAAAUAGAUUAGUGGUUGCCAAGGGUGGGGUAUGGUAACAGGUAGUGAUUGCAAAUGGCCACAGGGGACACAGGGAGUGUUUUGGAGAUGGUGUAAAUAUCCAAUGUAAAUAUCCUAAAGCUGGUUUGUGCUGAUAGUUGCACAAUUCUAUCAAUUAACUAAAAAUAAUUGAAUUAUAUGUUUAAGUGGGUUGGUUAUAUUUCAAUAAAGCUGUAAUGGAUUCAAAGUGUUAAGUAAUAAAUGCUCAACUAACAGUAGCUUUUUUGUUGUUUAAGUAAUCAGGAAAAGCCUCCUGAAGGAACUGGAGUUUUAAUGAUGAGUGACAGAUAGCUUUGCCUAGAUGAUAGGGAAGUGGGAAAGUGAAGAAGAAAUAAUAGGAAAAUAGUAUGGGCAGUGGCCUGGAGAGAGAAUAGACCUGGUGUAAUUUGUCUUACUAUAGAGCUGACUAGACUAGGAAGUUAGUACUAGGGAAUAUUGGGAUAGUUGAGAGAUAAGAAGCUGUUGGAAUCAGACCUAAGACUGGGAAAGGACUGGUAGGAUGUGCCUCACAUGUACCAUUGAUGAGUGGGUAGAAAUGAAGAGAUUCAAGUGAUAGAGGCCCCAGAUGAUAGAGAUAGUUAAGAUAUGGCUUUUGUCGAGGAGCAGUGGGCUUCCUGGGUGCUAGAAAUAGAAUUAUUCUGGCUGCAGCUGGCUGGUACUGAUCCAAACCAUUUAGAGGCUGAGCUGGGGAAGAUUGUAGAUGGUAGGAUAUGGUGUGGUAUGGUGUGGUGUGAUAUGGUAGGUGCCUAAGCAGUAACUUGUGUCUGGGCAAGUAGGUUAGAAGGGCCAGCCUGGGGAAGCAGACCCAGAGUGGCCAACCUGGGAGUCGAAAGGGUAAAGGUGAUAUGGUGGACCCAUCUAGGUUAAAAAAAAAAAAGAAAGAAAAAUAAAAGUGAUCCAGCUGGUUAUCUUUUCUCUGGCUGCUCUUGGAGUCAUGUGAGAACUGACUAAACUGUCUUCCAGUCUUGUGAGUUAUUUAAGUAAGCAGCUCUGUCAAGAUUAUGCCCUCCAGCUUUCCAACAAAUCUAGUGAGGUCACUGGGG
rnacentral:lncRNA from 10 species